CCUACGAGAGGCAGCAGUGAGGAAUAUUGGUCAAUGGACGCAAGUCUGAACCAGCCAUGCCGCGUGCAGGAAGACGGCUCUAUGAGUUGUAAACUGCUUUUGUACGAGGGUAAACGCAGAUACGCGUAUCUGUCUGAUAGUAUCGUACGAAUACGGAUCGGCUAACUCCUUGCCAGCAGCCGCGGUAAGACGGAGGAUUCAAGCGUUAUCCGGAUUUAUUGGGUUUAAAGGGUGCGUAGGCGGUCGGAUAAGUUAGAGGUGAAAUCCCGAGGCUCAACUUCGGAAUUGCCUCUGAUACUGUUCGGCUAGAGAGUAGUUGCGGUAGGCGGAAUGUAUGGUGUAGCGGUGAAAUGCUUAGAGAUCAUACAGAACACCGAUUGCGAAGGCAGCUUACCAAGCUACUUCUGACGUUGAGGCACGAAAGCGUGGGGAGCAAACAGGAUUAGAUACCCCGGUAGUC
rnacentral:rRNA from 1 species